AUGAACACUAGUACUGUCCAAAUCCAAAAGACUACUACUACUAUCCAAAUCGAAGAUACUACUGCUAUCCAAAUCCAAGAGACAGUGAGGAAUACGAGGGAGCGGCUGGAGGCCGAUUUCUCCAAGCUUGGAACCAAGAUCCAUAGGUUCCCACGAGGCCUACGGGGGGUCAACGAACGCUACAUCAUCCCGAGCUUCGUGUCCCUCGGCCCAUACCACCAUGGCUCACCGCACCUGCAAGAGACGGAGGAGUUGAAGCACGCGGCCGCCCACUACUUGUGCGAGAAGUCGGGUCGCUCCGUUGAGGAAGUCCAUGGCAAGAUCCUCUCCAUUGUCAGUCAAGCCCGCAGCUGCUACGCCGAUGAUGCAGUGGCGAAGUUCACGGACGCUGAAUUUGCGGUAAUGAUGUUCCUCGAUGGUUGCUAUCUGUUGCACUAUAUAAAAAUAGAUCAACAAUGUGCUUUAUUGUCCAAUCGGAUGUUCUUGUCCAUGGGGCCUUGCAUGCUAAGGGAUAUCUUUCUGCUCGAGAAUCAGCUCCCUUGGUUGGUCCUCGAGGCUCUUAUGGAAUUUUGCACACCAUUUCAUAUGUACAAUUUUUUUGUUGAUAUGGCGGUAUUCUUCGAUAUCGCCCCACGAUAUUCAUCAACUUCAGAUUCAAACACAAGGGUUUCUAUGGAUGAAUUCAAGAGGCACAGGCCGCCACAUCUCCUUGGGUUGCUCCGACACUACCAGAUUGGCAAUAUGCCUAACGAAGAUUGUAGAGACAAUCUCACAUGCUACUCAUCAGGUAGCAGUGCCAUUGAGCUUGCGGAAAUCGGCAUCAAACUGACCACCAGCAACAAGACAUGGUUCGCAGACAUGAGCAUCCAGAGAGACCGUUGCAUCUUCGGCCAGCUCUCCCUGGCGCCCUUGUUUGUAAAUGACUGCAUUGCUUGUUGGCUCGUCAACAUGGCAGCUUACGAGGCGUGUGUGUCCGUCACACAUCCAUCAGAUGGCUUCGUCAUCAGCUCAUACAUCUCCCUCCUGGCGAUGCUCAUGGACAAGGAAGAGGACGUGCACGAGCUGCGGGCGAAGCACCUCGUUAACAGCUUCUUCAGCAACCAUGAGCUGCUCAUUUUCUUCAAGGGCCUCGCUCGCCACCUGCGCCUCGGUCACCACUACUUUGUCAUCACGGACAAGAUUGACAAGUACAAGCGUGAAAGACCUGUGAGUAUCACCGUGCAUAGGUUCGUCUACAACAACUUCAGGACCAUCGUUGCCGUGCUUUCUGUUGUUAGUGUGCUUGUGGGUAUCUUCAGAACCUUGAUGAGUCUCAAGCAGCAUCAGCCGUAG
rnacentral:rRNA from 1 species